rnacentral:rRNA from 1 species
UACGUAGGGUGCAAGCGUUGUCCGGAAUUAUUGGGCGUAAAGAGCUCGUAGGCGGUUUGUCGCGUCUGCUGUGAAAACUCGGGGCUUAACUCCGGGCCUGCAGUGGGUACGGGCAGACUAGAGUGCGAUAGGGGAGACUGGAAUUCCUGGUGUAGCGGUGAAAUGCGCAGAUAUCAGGAGGAACACCGGUGGCGAAGGCGGGUCUCUGGGCAGUAACUGACGCUGAGGAGCGAAAGCGUGGGGAGCGAACAGG